rnacentral:tRNA from 1 species
GUGCGGCUAGCUCAACGUCAGAGCACCUGGAGACCCGCUCUCAGGGCACUCGGGAGAUGUCGGUUCAAUUCCGGCACCGCACU